rnacentral:rRNA from 1 species
UACGGGGGGGGCAAGCGUUGUUCAGAAUUACUGGGCGUAAAGGGCUCGUAGGCGGCCAACUAAGUCGGAUGUGAAAUCCCCAGGCUUAACCUGGGAACUGCAUCCGAUACUGGAUGGCUUGAAUCCGGGAGAGGGAUGCAGAAUUCCAGGUGUAGCGGUGAAAUGCGUAGAUAUCUGGAGGAAUACCGGUGGCGAAGGCGGCAUCCUGGACCGGCAUUGACGCUGAUGAGCGAAAGCUAGGGGAGCAAACGGG